rnacentral:tRNA from 2 species
GCGGAAAUAGCUCAGUUGGUAGAGCGCAACCUUGCCAAGGUUGAGGUCGCGGGUUCGAGUCUCGUUUUCCGCU